GUUACAUGGCACCUGAUACUUUAUUACAUUUCUAGUGGCGGACGGGUGAGUAACACGUUGGAACCUGCCCCAAAGUGAGGAUAAGCCACCGAAAGGUGGUCUAAUACUUCAUAAUAUCCAUCUCGUAUGGAUUAAAGCUUUAUGCGCUUUGGGAGGGGCCUGCGUAACAUUAGCUAGUUGGUGAGGUAAAAGCUCACCAAGGCUUCGAUGUUUAACUGGUUUGAGAGGAUGACCAGUCACACUGGGACUGAGAUACGGCCCAGACUCCUACGGGAGGCAGCAGUAAGGAAUCUUCCACAAUGGGGCAACCCUGAUGGAGCAAUACCGCGUGCAGGAUGAAGCGUUUCGGCGUGUAAACUGCUUUUAUCACCGAAGAUUAUGACUGUAGGUGAAGAAUAAGGACCGGCUAACUACGUG
rnacentral:rRNA from 1 species